rnacentral:rRNA from 1 species
GACGGGGGCCCGCACAAGCGGAGGAACAUGUGGUUUAAUUCGAUGAUACGCGAGGAACCUUGCCUGGGCUUAAAUGGGGAGUGACAGCUGUCGAAAGAUGGUUUCUUCGGACACUCUUCAAGGUGCUGCAUGGUUGUCGUCAGCUCGUGCCGUGAGGUGCCGGGUUAAGUCCCAUAACGAGCGCAACCCUUACCGUUAGUUACCAUCAGGUUAAGCUGGGGACUCUAGCGGGACUGCCACCGUAAGGUGAGAGGAAGUGGGGAUGACGUCAAAUCAGCACGGCCCUUAUGUCCAGGGCUACACACGUGUUACAAUGGCCAGUACAAAGGGCAGCUACCGGGUGACCGGAUGCUAAUCUCUAAAGCUGGUCUCAGUUCGGAUCGAAGUCUGCAACCCGACUUCGUGAAGCUGGAUUCGCUAAUAAUCGCGCAUCAGCCAUGGCGCGGUGAAUACGUUCCCGGGCCUU